GCGGUUUUCUAGGUUGUCUCUGACGCUGAGGCUCGAAAGCGUGGGCAGCGAAGCGGAUUAGAUACCCGCGUAGUCCACGCCCUAAACGGUGGACACUAGAUAUAGGAGGUAUCGACCCUUUCUGUGUCGAAGCUAACGCUUUAAGUGUCCCGCCUGGGUAUUACGGCCGCAAGGCUGAAACUCAAAGGAAUUGACGGGGGCCCGCACAAGCAGCGGAGCGUGUGGUUUAAUUCGAUGCUACGCGAAGAACCUUACCAGGACUUGACAUGGCAGAAGUAGGAAUCCGAAAGGAAGACGACCUGUAUCCAGUCAGGAGCUGUCACAGGUGCUGCAUGGCUGUCGUCAGCUCGUGCCGUGAGGUGUUGGGUUAAGUCCCGCAACGAGCGCAACCCUUGUCCUAUGUUAAAUUCUCAUAGGAGACUGCCUUGUACAGCAAGGAGGAAGGAAAGGAUGACGUCAAGUCAGCACGGCCUUUAUAUCCUGGGCUACACACACGCUACAAUGGACGAUACAGAGGGUUGCCAAGGAGUGAUCCGGAGCUAAUCCCCGAAAAUCGUCCUCAGUUCGGAUUGUAGGCUGAAAUCGCCUGCAUGAAGUCGGGGUUGCUAGUAACCGCAGGUCAGCCAUACUGCGGUGAAUACGUUCUCGGGCCUUGUACACACCGCCCGUCACGCCAUGGGAGCUGGCAACACCUGAAGUCGAUGGGCUAACUUGUGAUUAACAAGAAGUAGUCGCCUAAGGUGGGGUUGGUGACUGUGACGAAGUCGUAACAAGGUAGCCGUA
rnacentral:rRNA from 1 species